rnacentral:tRNA from 1 species
ACCCCUAUAGUUCAAGUGGAUAGAACGGAGGUUUCCUAAACCUUAGAUCCUGGUUCGAUUCCGGGUAGGGGUA